rnacentral:rRNA from 1 species
UACGUAGGGUGCGAGCGUUGUCCGGAAUUAUUGGGCGUAAAGGGCUCGUAGGCGGUUUGUCGCGUCGGGAGUGAAAACUCAGGGCUUAACCCUGAGCCUGCUUCCGAUACGGGCAGACUAGAGGUAUGCAGGGGAGAGCGGAAUUCCUGGUGUAGCGGUGAAAUGCGCAGAUAUCAGGAGGAACACCGGUGGCGAAGGCAGGUCUCUGGGCAUUAACUGACGCUGAGGAGCGAAAGCAUGGGGAGCGAACAGG